UAACGAAUCUUCCCCAAUGCACGAAAGUGUGAGGGAGCGACGCCGCGUGGAGGAUGAAGUCCUUCGGGAUGUAAACUCCUGUCAGGGGUUACCAAGUUCUGAGGAGCCCCAGAGGAAGGCACGGCUAACUCUGUGCCAGCAGCCGCGGUAAGACAGAGGUGCCAAGCGUUAGGCGGAAUCACUGGGCUUAAAGCGUGUGUAGGCGGACUUUUAAGUGUCUUGUGAAAUCCCACGGCUCAACCGUGGAACUGCCUUUGAAACUGCAAAGCUUGAAUCCUGGAGAGGGUGGCGGAAUUCCUGGUGUAGGAGUGAAAUCCGUAGAUAUCAGGAGGAACACCGGUGGCGAAGGCGGCCACCUGGACAGGUAUUGACGCUGAGGUGCGAAAGUGUGGGGAGCAAACA
rnacentral:rRNA from 1 species